CAGCAGCCACGGGAAUACGAAGGGUGCAAGCGUUAAUCGGAAUUACUGGGCGUAAAGCGUGCGUAGGCGGUGAGUUAAGUCUGCUGUGAAAUCCCCGGGCUCAACCUGGGAAUGGCAAUGGAUACUGGCAAGCUAGAGUGUGUCAGAGGAUGGUGGAAUUCCCGGUGUAGCGGUGAAAUGCGUAGAGAUCGGGAGGAACAUCAGUGGCGAAGGCGGCCAUCUGGGACAACACUGACGCUGAGGCACGAAAGCGUGGGGAGCAAACAGGAUUAGAUACCCCAGUAGUCCCUGUCUCUUAUAC
rnacentral:rRNA from 1 species